UUCGACCUCAUGAGGUCGAUUUUUUUUUUGUCCAAAUAAUAAAUGAAAAAAGAUUAUUUUACACAAAAUUAAAUUAUAUAAAUAUAAAAUAAUUAAUUAAAAAAUUAAAAAAAAAAUCAAAUUUCGACCGCAUGAGGUCGAAAAAAUUAAUUCAAAUCUGGUCAAAUCUGGCUUAAUUUUUUCGACCACAUGCAGUCGAAAAAGUUCAAUAAAUAAUACACCUACACAGGCCGAUGAAAAUAUUUCAUCUCCCCCCAAAACUUUCUCUUCUCUUUCAAAAAAAUUUACUCUCUCUAAACUCAUCUUCCCCAAAAUUCCCACCACCCCACCAACAUCUCCCCCCAAAACUGUUUGAUGUUCCUAAAGUGAAACUAUGUGCGCCUAUUUCUGAGUAUGUUUUAGGUGGGUUUGUUGAUUAGCUUGCUAGUGGCUUGUUGAAGGUGGGUUUGUUGAUUAGCUUGUUAAGCAGUCCUUGUUAGCACCGGCGUUCUCCAAGUAGGCGACACCGUCCAGUUAAACCACCGGAGUAGCCACCAGCCACCGCCGACUGAACAGUGAGCGGGGUUAGUCCUUUUUUUUGUUUUUUGUUUUUCAAUCUCAUUUUAUCAUUAUUAGUUGCAUUACUUUGUAUAGUUGUAGUUUAAUUAGAAGAUUUGUUAACUUUAUUGAUUGUUCAAUGUUUGUUUUAGGUAUUAGAAUGUUAACUUUAUUUUAGGGUUUCGAAAUGAAAUUGAAUGUUGUUGUUGUAGUAUUCAAACUGAAAUUCCAAUUAAUUUGGUUUAAAGAUAGCAUUUGUGUUUAAAGAUUGCAUUUGUAGCUAUUUUGUUAAAAUUUUACUAAGUGCAAAUUGAAAUUGAAAUUGAAAUUGAAUGUUGUUGGUGUUGCAUUUGUAGCUAUUUGUUGUUGUGUUUUACCAAUAUUUGAGAAUUGUUAGAGCUCGGGAGACUUAUCCUUUAUACUUGUGAUAUGCUUCCAGCUUCUCUUUCAAUCAAACUCGUAUUUGACAUGUUUGUGCUACUCUGACUUAUGUAAAAUCAUUUUCUUAUUGUUUAACUGUUUGACAAAGUAGUCAAGGGAUUUUGUGAAACUCGUUCACUUGUAAGUUGCAAAGCUUAAAAUUCGAUAUUAAGAUUUUUUUAAUUUUUUCCUUAUUUUUGGAAUAGGUUGUCAAUUGCCGGAGUUAAGGAAGAUUUGCUAGAUACAAGAAAGUAGCAGCAGAGAUUAGAUUAUUUACUGCUUACAGUUUAUCAAAACUACAUCAGUUACUUUUAUUUAACUCUAGAAAUAGAUUGUUGUCUGCUAUCCACAAGCCUUUUCUGUCUUGAUAUAUUUUUGUUUUCCUGAUAUAUUUUCGUUUUCCUUCUUUCUCUAACAAGUAGCCCAUGUUUUGUUGAAUCGUUCUCGUUUUAGUAAUGGAUUUGAUGAAAUCGCUUGUGUUUUCUAUAGCAACUGAUGUCAUAUGUUAAGGUGGUUGAUCUUGGAUCCUUUUGGAUGAUGAUACUUUGAAUUAUGGUUUUCCUUGACUUUAUUGAGCUUUCCUUUUUUUUUUUUUGGUUCUUGUUCUUGAGCUAGAGUCAGAGGUGUUAUUUUGGUUCUUGAUGAGACAAGGUGAUUCUGGAUCUCUUUCUGUGUUAAGUGGCUGUGCCAAGGAUAAAAAAAGACUAAUUGGUUUGAUAACCUAACACUUCUUGAUAAAUCUCUAUCUUUAACUUUUUAGUGAAGCCUUAAAUUGGACUCACUUUAUUUAUUUGUUGAAAAUUAAAAUAAAAAUGUGUUGAAGCCACUAACAACUUCAGCAAGGUGAAUAAAUUGGAAGAGGUGGAAUUGCAAGUGUAUGCAAGUGGUUUGAUUUCAUGUUUAUUUUAUUCUCCCUACAAGAACAACGUUCGAUACCAAACAAGUUGGGGUCGAUAUUAAUCUUCACUAAUCAUGUUCAAUUUUGAAUUUACAAAUCUCAUCUUAAAUAUCAUCACUAGUAUGAAAGAAAUAAGUAGUAAUUUAACACUGAUUAUGUUGUUUAAUUGGACAACUACGGGCAAAAUAACCAUGAGGAUUAAUUUGUUUAGCUUUGGACAACUUGGUGCUGGUGUUGUUUUGAUUUGCCUUCUUCAAACUAGUCAUGGACAUAUUUUUCUGUUAUUUAUGGUCUUUACCGGUGUUCUGCAAAGAAGUAUGUGGUGUACUUUCAUAUGGCUGUUGGUGGUGUUUUUAAGGAUAAUUCUUCAAGCGUUGAGUUUAGAGUUGAGUCUUGCUUUGGCAUUGUUUUUAGUAUGUUUCUGUGGGUUUCUGCAAUAUAAUUAUCCCUCCACUAAUGUCUUGCAGUUUCAAGUAGUUUAUUAAUCUUUUUUUUUUGUAUAGAAAUCUAUGUGGGUCAGUUUGCUUGUGAUUUGAAACUUGAUGGAUAUUAGAUCUCUUCUACUCUUUUAUAACCGACAGUAUGGUUCGAGCACACUUGGAGGGCCUGUUUUGAAAUCUGCCAAGCAUAUAUGUUUGUUUCUCUUCUAAAUUAUAGCUUCUUCUUUGGUUUUCUUUUCAACUUACUCAACUCGGGGCCCUCUCAUAUUCCCCCGUGUUCCGGGGAUGCUCAUAGGUCACAGCCCAGUGGACGACGUAGGUCACAAGACAACGUAGUUCAUGCUCUUGUUGAUGAGGAUAGUGGGGAGGAAUCAGAUCAUGUCUCUAACACCCAACGUUGAAUUUUUUGAUUCGUAUACUUUUGGAUUGUAAUAUUGCUAUGUUUUCUUGGAUAUGUAUAUAUUUUUUUUAUGAUAGUUUUAAUUCGAAUUAGAUGUACUUUUGAAGGUGAAUUUGAUUGUAGGAAGUAGUUUAUGAAUGUUUUAACUUUACGAUGUUUAAGUGUUUGAAUGUAGAAAGUAGUUUAUGGUUGUUUAACUUUACGAUGUUCAAGUGUUUGAAUGUAGUUUUAAGGAUAUUUAGAAGUACUUUAAAUUGAAACUUGAGGUUGAA